ensembl:snRNA U6 U6 spliceosomal RNA
GUGCUUGCUUUGACAGCACAUUUAAUGAAAUUGGAAUAAAACAGAGAUUAGCAUGGCCCUUGUGUAAGGAUGACAUGCAAAUUUGUGAAGUGUUGCAUCAAGAU